rnacentral:ncRNA from 1 species
GGCAAGAUGCUGAUCAAGAGGAGUAGCUAGCAAGAAGUUUUUAGAGAGAGAACGAUUGGGUGAAACGUUCUUAAUGGAAGCUAGUGAAGGUAGCUUGGGAAUCUUUGUCUUGAAAAUAGUAGAGACAAACGUGUAGUGACCGUUAACUCACUUCGAGAGGUAGCAAAAAAAGUUGUUACAAAUUAGGUGGUACCGCGUAAUUUAUACGUCCUAAAA